CACAGUGUGAGCUCUCCUUGUCCAUAGGAGGCGUGCUCCACAUCUUUCUUCUCUUCCCCAAGCCGAAGGGAAGAAUCCCUUUCUCCUCUCUUCUCCAGCCAGCCUACUCCCUCCUCCCUUCCCCACUCCUCCCCAGGUUCCUCCUUGCUGCACCACGCCCUUCACCACCUCCAUGGCUGCCCUUUGAUUUAGGGCUUUGAGGAAGAAGGAAAUGAGACAAGAAGAGGGAGAACAAGAAAGCUUCCCCAACUUUUCCCCUAACCAAAUCUUUGUGAUUUGACCAUAGAGCAGGUUGCAGCACAAAUCCACCGGAGAUAGCCUCGCGCCACCUCCCUCGCAACGGUUGAGGCGAGUACACCGGGCAACAAGACCUAGAUUGCUCCCUUAAUAUUAUGUCCAUGUUCACGUUAUUCCUGUACAUUCAUGCAAUGGUGAACAUACAACUCCCUAGUGUACAUUUCAAUACACCAUACCACUGGUAUGUGAUAGGGAUUGGUUUUUCUUGGUUCUUGUUAACAAAUCCAUCAUGAGUGAAUCUUCCAAGUUCAAGGAGUGAUCCUUGCUUCGCGAGUGUAUGGUCCUUCGGGUCCGUCCUCAUGUUAUGGUCCUCUCACUUGGUGAGGGUUGAAAAGGAGUGAGGUGAGACGUCGCCCCUCCUCAGCUUGCCGGCAAAAGCUCAGAGCCUAGUCCUCGGUCUUAUUUGGUUGCAUCUUUUCUUCAUGUUUUCUCAUGCCAUUCCAAGCAUGGAAGAUUCGAGUAUAGUAUUUACUUGAUCAAGCAUGGUUCAUAUUCAUGGUAUUACUUGCCAUUUUAUUACAUGCUUUGUUGUGUACUCGCUGAGUCUUUGGACUCACCCCUCGUGGACUUUGUUUCAGGUACAUCACCGUGAGGCCUUGCAAGUAUUAAGAAGGGCGUAGCUCCCAUGGGUGUUCACUCACACAUUUCACACCCCUUCCAUCCACCUAGCCGAUCAUGAUAACUCUCAUAUUUAGUUCAUGAUUCUUGGUAGCUAGGAUCUACUUGUGGUGUAUAAACUUUGCCUUGGUUGGUUUCCAUGAUCACUAUGUUUACCUGUCAAGGUGGGUUGGAGUUGACUAGUCCCCACCUUGCACCAUGGUGUGUUGGAACGUAUGUUUUGUUUGCUAUGUGUAGCAUAACAGUUGGUGGCUUCACCACUUUGCUCUACAUGGGUUGUAGGAGCUUGUUGGAUGCUUCUGCUUGUGAUAUUAUGAAUAUAUGCUCUGUUUAUUCA